rnacentral:piRNA from 1 species
UGAAAGUGUCUAUCAGAAAUGUGUGUCACGC